AUGAACAAAUGCAGGGCACAUACCAACAUGUGUUGUAUUUUUCUUAAUGUUAAACACGAGCAGUAGAUUCAACAUAACUAACUGUUUGAAGCUAAAGUUAGUUGGAACUCAACUCACUGUACAUACUCUAACUCAGAUAACUCUGGUGCUGUUGCCUUAGAGCCACAGGCAGGAAAAUGAUUCUUAUCAGAAAAUUGGAAAGCUGCUGGAGUAAUCUAUGGUGUUCA